GAUGAAGAACGUAGCGAAAUGCGAUAAGUAGUGUGAAUUGCAGAAUUCAGUGAAUCAUCGAAUCUUUGAACGCACAUUGCGCCUCCUGGUAUUCCGGGAGGCAUGCCUGUUCGAGCGUCAUUAAAAUCACUCAAGCUUAGGUUUACCUAUUGCUUGGUCUUGGAGAUGGAAGCCAAUUUAUUGGAAUCCUCUUCGAAAUUCAAUGGCGAAGACCCUUGCUCUCCCAAGUGUAGUAAUAACUUAUGUCACUGAAGGAAGCGAGAAAUCUUCUGCCGUAAACCCCAUAUUUUCUAUGAUUGACCUCGGAUCAGGUAGGGAUACCCGCUGAACUUAAGCAUAUCAAUAAGCGGAGGA
rnacentral:misc_RNA from 1 species